AAAAUUAACCCUGGAUAAGGACCACGGGAUGCAUGUCUUGUGGUGGAAAGCGCUUUAGCGGUGUGGGAUGAGCCCGCGGCCUAUCAGCUUGUUGGUGGGGUGACGGCCUACCAAGGCGACGACGGGUAGCCGGCCUGAGAGGGUGUCCGGCCACACUGGGACUGAGAUACGGCCCAGACUCCUACGGGAGGCAGCAGUGGGGAAUAUUGCACAAUGGGCGCAAGCCUGAUGCAGCGACGCCGCGUGGGGGAUGACGGCCUUCGGGUUGUAAACCUCUUUCACCAUCGACGAAGGUCCGGGUUCUCUCGGAUUGACGGUAGGUGGAGAAGAAGCACCGGCCAACUACGUGCCAGCAGCCGCGGUAAUACGUAGGGUGCGAGCGUUGUCCGGAAUUACUGGGCGUAAAGAGCUCGUAGGUGGUUUGUCGCGUUGUUCGUGAAAUCUCACGGCUUAACUGUGAGCGUGCGGGCGAUACGGGCAGACUAGAGUACUGCAGGGGAGACUGGAAUUCCUGGUGUAGCGGUGGAAUGCGCAGAUAUCAGGAGGAACACCGGUGGCGAAGGCGGGUCUCUGGGCAGUAACUGACGCUGAGGAGCGAAAGCGUGGGGAGCGAACAGGAUUAGAUACCCUGGUAGUCCACGCCGUAAACGGUGGGUACUAGGUGUGGGUUUCCUUCCUUGGGAUCCGUGCCGUAGCUAACGCAUUAAGUACCCCGGCCUGGGAGUACGGCCGCAUGCUAAAACUCAAGAAUUGACGGGGCCCGCACAGCGCGGAGCAUGUGAUUAUUCCGAUGCACGCGAGAACCUUACCUGG
rnacentral:rRNA from 1 species